rnacentral:rRNA from 1 species
AUUGAACGCUGGCGGCAUGCCUAACACAUGCAAGUCGAACGGCAGCACAGCAGUAGCAAUACUGUGGGUGGCGAGUGGCGGACGGGUGAGGAAUACAUAGGAAUCUACCCUGUCGUGGGGGACAACGUAGGGAAACUUACGCUAAUACCGCAUACGACCGAGAGGUGAAAGUGGGGGACCGCAAGGCCUCACGCGAUUGGAUGAGCCUAUGUCCGAUUAGCUAGUUGGCGGGGUAAGAGCCCACCAAGGCGACGAUCGGUAGCUGGUCUGAGAGGAUGAUCAGCCACACUGGAACUGAGACACGGUCCAGACUCCUACGGGAGGCAGCAGUGGGGAAUAUUGGACAAUGGGCGCAAGCCUGAUCCAGCAAUGCCGCGUGGGUGAAGAAGGCCUUCGGGUUGUAAAGCCCUUUUGUACGGGAAGAAAAGCUGUCGAUUAAUACUCGAUGGUCAUGACGGUACCGUAAGAAUAAGCACCGGCUAACUUCGUGCCAGCAGCCGCCGUAACAC